rnacentral:rRNA from 1 species
UACGGAGGGGGCUAGCGUUGUUCGGAAUUACUGGGCGUAAAGCGCGCGUAGGCGGAUCUGCAAGUCGGGGGUGAAAUCCCGAGGCUCAACCUCGGAACUGCCUUCGAUACUGCGGGUCUCGAGUCCGGGAGAGGUGAGUGGAAUUCCUAGUGUAGAGGUGAAAUUCGUAGAUAUUAGGAAGAACACCAGUGGCGAAGGCGGCUCACUGGCCCGGUACUGACGCUGAGGCGCGAAAGCGUGGGGAGCCAACAGG